CAAUAUGAAACAUGUACAUUGCUAAUCAAUAUUUUGUCUUUCUCUCUCUCUCAGGUGGUCUCCUGAGUCCUGCCCCUGUGCUUUGGGCCUUGCCACGCCCACGGCAAUCCUAGUUGGCACUUCUAUUGGAGAAAGGCAAGGACUUCUCUUGAGAGGAGGUGAUGUGCUGGAACGCUUGGCUGGCAUAAAUUAUAUGGCCUUUGACAAGACAGGAACUCUUACAGAAGGAAAACCUACUGUCUGCCGUGGCUUCGUUGGCUUAUGAUAUUUCAGAAAUUCUCCAGCUUGCUGCUGCUGUAGAGAAAACAACAUCACAUCCUCUUGCAAAUGCUAUCUUGAGUAAAGCAGAGUCAUGUGGUUUGCAGAUUCCAACCACAAGUAGACAAUUAACAGAGCCAGGUUUUGGAACCUUAGCUGAAGUAGAUGGACGUUUGGUUGCAGUAGGUUCUUUGGAAUGGGUUUGUCAACGUUUUGAAAGGAAGAACCAAUCAGAUAUAGAACAUUUGGAGCGUGCCUUGAUGCUUGAGUCAGCCAAACCAACUUCAUCAUUGGAUAAAUCGGAAACGGUGGUUUAUGUUGGACGUGAAGAAGAGGGUGUCAUUGGUGCUAUUGCAAUCUCUGAUGCCUUAAUGCUGAGGCUACUGUAGCAACGUAGGUAAAUUUCUCUUUGAAGUCAUUUAUUAGAUGGAUGCAUGCUAUGCAUAAGACUUACGAAUUGUAAACUAAUUUUUACUCUGCGACUUCUGUAAUUCUGUUGUGCAUACAGUCAUUCAUUGUUGUGCAAUGUGCAUACAGAGUCCAAAAUGUGGGAGCAUGUUUUCUUUGAUUUGAACUUGUAAACUGCAACUUUAGGUUGAUAGUACCAAGAUCUGUUAAAAUCUGGUUCCCAG